rnacentral:sRNA from 1 species
AUAGCACAAAAUGGGGACAUAACUGCCAGGAAGACUGCAAUGAUUCCUGUCUCAUCCAAUCUUGUGAUAGAAUAACUGGACAAUGUGAUCAAGGAUGUAAUGGUUAUAGUGACCCUCCAAAUUGUAAUCUUGCUUGUACCAAUCAUACUUAUGGACCAAAUUGUACCAAGUUAUGUAGUGCUUAUUGCUCUAUGGCUAAUGACACCUCAGAGAACAGAUGCCAUCACAUCACUGGAGACUGUAUCAAUGGUUGUGUUAGUGGAUAUAUUACAUCCACAUGUAUUCAACCAAUUGUUUCAAGUAAUGACACACCAGUUGGUGCUAUAGUAGGAGCAUGUAUAGCUGGUUUAGUUAUCAUUGUAUUAAUUUUGGUGGCUGUUAUUAUUUUGAGGUAAUUAAUUUUACAGUAU